rnacentral:rRNA from 1 species
UACGUAGGGUGCGAGCGUUGUCCGGAAUUAUUGGGCGUAAAGAGCUCGUAGGCGGUGUGUCACGUCGGCCGUGAAAACCUGGGGCUCAACUCUGGGCGUGCGGUCGAUACGGGCAUCACUUGAGUUCGGCAGGGGAGACUGGAAUUCCUGGUGUAGCGGUGAAAUGCGCAGAUAUCAGGAGGAACACCGGUGGCGAAGGCGGGUCUCUGGGCCGAUACUGACGCUGAGGCACGAAGGUCAGGGGAGCAAACGGG